rnacentral:tRNA from 1 species
GCGCCUGUAGCUCAACGGAUAGAGCACUGGUCUUCGGAACCAGGUGUUGGGGGUUCGAUUCCCUCCAGGCGCG